GCAUUGCGAUAGUAGUAUACUGCAGUCGAGCGAACAGAGAAGGAGCUUGCUCCUUUGACGUUAGCGGCGGACGGGUGAGUAACACGUGGGCAACCUACCCUAUAGUUUGGGAUAACUCCGGGAAACCGGGGCUAAUACCGAAUAAUCUAUGUCACCUCAUGGUGACAUACUGAAAGACGGUUUCGGCUGUCGCUAUAGGAUGGGCCCGCGGCGCAUUAGCUAGUUGGUGAGGUAAUGGCUCACCAAGGCGACGAUGCGUAGCCGACCUGAGAGGGUGAUCGGCCAAACUGGGACUGAGCCAGGACCCAGACUUCUACGGGAGGCAGCAGUAGGGAAUCUUCCACAAUGGGCGAAAGCCUGAUGGAGCAACGCCGCGUGAGUGAAGAAGGUUUUCGGAUCGUAAAACUCUGUUGUAAGGGAAGAACAAGUACAGUAGUAACUGGCUGUACCUUGACGGUACCUUAUUAGAAAGCCACGGCUAACUACGUGCCAGCAGCCGCGGUAAAUACCUAGGGGGCAAGCGUUGUCCGGAAAUUAUUGGGGGGUAAAGGCGCGCGGCAGGCGGGCCCUUUAAGUCUGAUGUGAAAGCCCACGGCUCAACCGUGGAGGGGCAUUGGAAACUGGGGGACUUGGGUGCAGAAGAGAAAAAUGGAAUUUCCAAGUGUAGCGGUGAAAUGGCUUAGAGAUUUGUGAGGAACACCAUUGGCGAAGGCGACUUUCUGGUCUGUUACUGACCCUGAAGCGGGAAAAACGGGGGGGAGC
rnacentral:rRNA from 1 species